rnacentral:rRNA from 1 species
GACGAACGCUGGCGGCGUGCUUAACACAUGCAAGUCGAACGGAAAGGCCCUGCUUUUGUGGGGUGCUCGAGUGGCGAACGGGUGAGUAACACGUGAGUAACCUGCCCUUGACUUUGGGAUAACUUCAGGAAACUGGGGCUAAUACCGGCUAGGAGCUCCUGCUGCAUGGUGGGGGUUGGAAAGUUUCGGCGGUUGGGGAUGGACUCGCGGCUUAUCAGCUUGUUGGUGGGGUAGUGGCUUACCAAGGCUUUGACGGGUAGCCGGCCUGAGAGGGUGACCGGCCACAUUGGGACUGAGAUACGGCCCAGAAUCCUACGGGAGGCAGCAGUGGGGAAUAUUGCACAAUGGGCGGAAGCCUGAUGCGGCAACGCCGCGUGCGGGAUGACGGCCUUCGGGUUGUAAACCGCUUUCGCCUGUGACGAAGCGUGCGUGACGGUAAUGGGUAAAGAAGCACCGGCUAACUACGUG